rnacentral:tRNA from 1 species
UGGGACGUGGCCAAGUGGUAAGGUGGUGGGUUUUGGUCCCGUUACUCUAAGGUCUGAAUCCUUUCAUCCCAA